CACUAAGUUUGUGGUAACUCUGCAUUUAUGGACCACAUAUUCUAACGGUGGACAUGCCAUAUGUAGUUCCCUUGCAGUCUGGAUUUGGAGCCUGGCCUAUUCACAGCUAAGCUAAGUGGCUUAUCAACUGUGGUCCCCCUGUAUGAAUGGAUGGUUAUGGAUUAGUGGAAACUCAAUGGAUGACCUAUUGCUUGCAAUUACUGGUGUAGGUUUGGAAACUACUUGAUCCAGAAGUGUCAUUUUAACCACCGUUUUCUUCUCUCAUUCAUCAUACUCAUACAUGGCUCUAUAGUUUUUAUCUUCUGAAGCCAAAUGUGGAAACCUAUACAUAAAAAUACAAACUGUCAUGAAAUAAGUCAGUCUCGGGGAUAUUAU